GACGAACGCUGGCGGCGUGCCUAAUACAUGCAAGUCGAACGCAGUGGGGACGGGUGAGUAACACGUGGGUAACCUCCCAUCAGAGGGGAUAACACUUGGAAACAGGUGCUAAACCGAUACUGAUGGAUGGACCCGCGGUGCAUUAGCUAGUUGUUGAGGUAACGGCUCACCAAGGCCACGAUGCAUAGCGGGCCUGAGAGGGUGAUAGGCCACACUGGGACUGAGACACGGACCAGAGUCCUACGGGGAACAGCAGUAGGGAAGCUUCGGCAAUGGGCGAAAGUCUGACCGAGCAACGCCGCGUGAGUGAAGAAGGUUUUCGGAGCUUAAAACUAUGUUGUUAGAGAAGCGGUAUCUAACCAGAAAGCCAAGGCUAACUACGUGCCAGCAGCCGCGGUAAUAC
rnacentral:rRNA from 1 species